rnacentral:tRNA from 1 species
GCUUUCGUGGUGUAGUGGUCAGCUUGCUCGACGCGUAUUCGAGAGGUCCGUGGUUCGAAUCUCGGUGAGAGCA